UGCUUUGGCAGCAUGUGUACUAAAUUAAAGUUGGAAUGAGAUACACAUGAUUAACAUGGGCCCUGUGCUGGGAUGACAAACAAAUUCAUGAAGUGAUCCGUAUGUUA
rnacentral:snRNA from 1 species